rnacentral:rRNA from 1 species
GAUGAACGCUGGCGGCGUGCCUAAUACAUGCAAGUCGAACGCUGAAGGCGGAGCUUGCUCUUCUGGUUGAGUUGCGAACGGGUGAGUAACGCGUAGGUAACCUGCCUGGUAGUGGGGGAUAACUAUUGGAAACGAUAGCUAAUACCGCAUGACAACAGUUAUUGCAUGAUAACUGUUUAAAAGGUGCAACUGUUCCACUACCAGAUGCACCUGCGUUGUAUUAGCUAGUUGGUGAGGUAACGGCUCACUUAGGCGACGAUACAUCGCCGACCUGAGAGGGUGAUCAGCCACACUGGGAGUGUGACACGGCCCAGACUCCUACAGACGGCGGCAAGACGGAAACUUCAGCAAGGGACGGAAGACUGACCGAGCAACGCGGCGUGAGUAAGGAAGGAUUUCGGAUCGUAGAGCUCUGUUGUAAGGGUAGAACGAGUGUGAGAGUGGAAAGUUCACACUGUGACGGUAUCGUGCCAGAAAGGGACGGCUAACUACGUG